rnacentral:rRNA from 1 species
GACGAACGCUGGCGGCGUGCUUAACACAUGCAAGUCGAACGGAAAGGCACUGCUUUUGUGGGGUGCUCGAGUGGCGAACGGGUGAGUAACACGUGAGUAACCUGCCCUUGACUUUGGGAUAACUUCAGGAAACUGGGGCUAAUACCGGAUAGGAGCUCCUGCUGCAUGGUGGGGGUUGGAAAGUUUCGGCGGUUGGGGAUGGACUCGCGGCUUAUCAGCUUGUUGGUGGGGUAGUGGCUUACCAAGGCUUUGACGGGUAGCCGGCCUGAGAGGGUGACCGGCCACAUUGGGACUGAGAUACGGCCCAGACUCCUACGGGAGGCAGCAGUGGGGAAUAUUGCACAAUGGGCGGAAGCCUGAUGCAGCAACGCCGCGUGCGGGAUGAAGGCCGUCGGGUUGUAAACCGCUUUCGCCUGUGACGAAGCGUGAGUGACGGUAAUGGGUAAAGAAGCACCGGCUAACUACGUG